CAAAAACACAUAGGGGAUAUAUAACUAAGAGACAGAGAGACAUACAGAUAGACAGAGUAUUCACUCUCUCUGUCUUCCUAGAUAUAUUAUUUUUAUAUUUGGUAUUUUUUUUGUUCUUUUUUUUUUCCCAAUAUCUAUAUUUUUAUUUUGUUUUUAAGCAGAAGGAU
rnacentral:ribozyme from 13 species